UCACAAAUGGAAGGUAGAUCAUGCAUUAAAUAUGUUGUAUACAUUCGUUCAUGCUUUCGUAGAUCUGUGAAGUCCGGAUGUAAAUAAAAUUCCAUUGUGGGCAAAAAGGUUUAUCACAAAUGGAAGGUUGAUCAUGCAUUAAAUAUGUUGUAUACAUUCGUUCAUGCUUUCGUAGAUCUGUGAAGUCCGGAUGUAAAUAAAAUUCCAUUGUGGGCAAAAAGGUUUAUCACAAAUGGAAGGUUGAUCAUGCAUUAAAUAUGUUGUAUACAUUCGUUCAUGCUUUCGUAGAUCUGUGAAGUCCGGAUGUAAAUAAAAUUCCAUUGUGGGCAAAAAGGUUUAUCACAAAUGGAAGGUAGAUCAUGCAUUAAAUAUGUUGUAUACAUUCGUUCAUGCUUUCGUAGAUCUGUGAAGUCCGGAUGUCAAUUAAAUUCCAUUGUGGGCAAAAAGGUUUAUCACAUGGAAGGUAGAUCAUGCAUUAAAUAUGUUGUAUACAUUCGUUCAUGCUUUCGUAGAUCUGUGAAGUCCGGAUGUAAAUAAAAUUCCAUUGUGGGCAAAACGGUUUAUCACACAUGGAAGGUAGAUCAUGCAUUAAAUAUGUUGUAUACAUUCGUUCAUGCUUUCGUAGAUCUGUGAAGUCCGGAUGUAAAUAAGAUUCCAUUGUGGGCACAAAGGUUUAUCACACAUGGAAGGUAGAUCGAACCUAGUGACGCGUUGUCCAGUGAAGAUACUUUCAGGUCGUGCCAGGUGCAAGUGGGCAUCAUUGUAUCACGCUUGAGGCGAUGUCCCACGCCCCACGCCCCACGCCCCACCCAUUCUCGUCCACAUUACAGUAACGAGAUGUUAUCACCACUGUACUCAGAUGUAUAUCUAUAUUUUAUUGAAAUAAAUCAUCAAUUUUC